rnacentral:rRNA from 1 species
UGGGGAAUAUUGGACAAUGGGCGAAAGCCUGAUCCAGCCAUGCCGCGUGGGUGAAGAAGGCCUUCGGGUUGUAAAGCCCUUUUGUUGGGGAAGAAAUCCUGCUGGCUAAUACCCGGCGGGGAUGACGGUACCCAAAGAAUAAGCACCGGCUAACUUCGUGCCAGCAGCCGCGGUAAUACGAAGGGUGCAAGCGUUGUCCGGAAUUAUUGGGCGUAAAGAGCUCGUAGGCGGUCUGUCGCGUCUGUCGUGAAAGCCCACGGCUUAACUGUGGGUCUGCGGUGGAUACGGGCAGGCUAGAGGCAGGUAGGGGAGCAUGGAAUUCCCGGUGUAGCGGUGAAAUGCGCAGAUAUCGGGAGGAACACCGGUGGCGAAGGCGGUGCUCUGGGCCUGUUCUGACGCUGAGGAGCGAAAGCGUGGGGAGCGAACAGGAUUAGAUACCC